rnacentral:rRNA from 1 species
UACGAAGGGGGCUAGCGUUGCUCGGAAUGACUGGGCGUAAAGGGCGCGUAGGCGGCCUUCUAAGUCAGACGUGAAAUCCCUCGGCUUAACCGGGGAACUGCGUCUGAUACUGGAUGGCUAGAGGUUGGGAGAGGGAUGCGGAAUUCCAGGUGUAGCGGUGAAAUGCGUAGAUAUCUGGAGGAACACCGGUGGCGAAGGCGGCAUCCUGGACCAAUUCUGACGCUGAGGAGCGAAAGCCAGGGGAGCAAACGGG